UGGGGAAUAUUGCACAAUGGAGGGAACUCUGAUGCAGCGACGCCGCGUGAACGAAGAAGGCUUUCGAGUCGUAAAGUUCUUUUAUAUGGGAAGAUAAUGACGGUACCAUAAGAAAAAGCCCCGGCUAACUACGUGCCAGCAGCCGCGGUAAUACGUAGGGGGCUAGCGUUGUCCGGAAUCACUGGGCGUAAAGGGUUCGCAGGCGGAAAUGCAAGUCAGGUGUAAAAGGCAGUAGCUUAACUACUGUAAGCAUUUGAAACUGCAUAUCUUGAGAAGAGUAGAGGUAAGUGGAAUUUUUAGUGUAGCGGUGAAAUGCGUAGAUAUUAAAAAGAAUACCGGUGGCGAAGGCGACUUACUGGUCAUCAUCUGACGCUGAGGUACGAAAGCGUGGGUAGCAAACAGG
rnacentral:rRNA from 1 species